rnacentral:rRNA from 1 species
UGGGGAAUAUUGCACAAUGGGCGCAAGCCUGAUGCAGCCAUGCCGCGUGUAUGAAGAAGGCCUUCGGGUUGUAAAGUACUUUCAGCGGGGAGGAAGGGAGUAAAGUUAAUACCUUUGCUCAUUGACGUUACCCGCAGAAGAAGCACCGGCUAACUCCGUGCCAGCAGCCGCGGUAAUACGGAGGGUGCAAGCGUUAAUCGGAAUUACUGGGCGUAAAGCGCACGCAGGCGGUUUGUUAAGUCAGAUGUGAAAUCCCCGGGCUCAACCUGGGAACUGAAUCUGAUACUGGCAAGCUUGAGUCUCGUAGAGGGGGGUAGAAUUCCAGGUGUAGCGGUGAAAUGCGUAGAGAUCUGGAGGAAUACCGGUGGCAAAGGCGGCCCCCUGGACGAAGACUGACGCUCAGGUUCGAAAGCGUGGGGAGCAAACAGG